UGCCCAGCUUAUUGAACUUGCUCGUUAUAAUUACAGGAUAAGCCUUUUAGCUUUUCAUGAAGCAUUGGCACGCAAACCAUGUGAUCCUUUGAUAGUGGCUACUUUUGCACUAGCCUUUUACCUGGGAGGUGAUAUGUCUUUGGCAGUGGAUAUCAGAAAAUCAAUCAACCGACAACAUGAUAUUGGCUUUCGAGAGCUCUUAGAACCCAAAGUCUGGACUGAUAAGCAUUUGGCAGGUGAAGUACAAAGCUUUGCUGCAUUGAUGAAGCAGGCAUUAACUAAAAUGACUGAUGAGUAUCAUGUCGCAAAUGCUAUGGCAAAAAUCCAUCAAGCACCUUCCUCAGAUCUUGUAUUUAUACCACUACAAGCCUACCUGAAGGUUCUCAAAUUUAUCGAGUGUGUUCAAUAUGGCAAAAAGGAGCGUGGCCAUGAACCAAAACGCGAUGGGAUGAUCAAUUAUCAUAGCCUGUCUAAUGGUACACAUGCAGAAAUAAGGAACCUCUUUACACUGGUGGUUUUUGACACACUGUACCCUACAAACACGGAGGAUGAAAAUGACUGCAGUUCUUAGAGAGACAUCAUGAUUGGGAUGAAUUCAAUACUUUGCCAGACAUCAAUAAAUACUCCAUUUGUCCCAAAAUA